rnacentral:rRNA from 1 species
UACAGAGGUCUCAAGCGUUGUUCGGAAUCACUGAGCGUAAAGGGUGCGUAGGCGGCGCAGCAAGUCAGAUGUGAAAUCCGGAGGCUCAACCUCCGAACUGCAUCCGAAACUGCUGUGCUCGAGAUCUGUAGAGGGACUUGGAAUUCUCGGUGUAGCAGUGAAAUGCGUAGAUAUCGAGAAGAACGCUCGUGGCGAAGGCGAAGUCCUGGGCAGAUUCUGACGCUGAGGCACGAAGGCCAGGGGAGCAAACGGG